rnacentral:rRNA from 1 species
CCUACGGGAGGCUGCAGUCGAGAAUCAUUCACAAUGGGGGAAACCCUGAUGGUGCGACGCCGCGUGGGGGAAUGAAGGUCUUCGGAUUGUAAACCCCUGUCAUGUGGGAGCAAAUUAAAAAGAUAGUACCACAAGAGGAAGAGACGGCUAACUCUGUGCCAGCAGCCGGGGUAAUACAGAGGUCUCAAGCGUUGUUCGGAAUCACUGGGCGUAAAGCGUGCGUAGGCUGUUUCGUAAGUCGUGUUUUAAGAGCGCGGGCUCAAGCCGCGGACGGCAAAUGUUACUGCGAGACGAGAUUAAUGGAGGGGGAACCGGAUGUCUCGGUGGAGCAGUGAAAUGCGUAUAUAUCGAGCGGAACACUCGUGGCGACGGGGGGUUCCUGGACAUUAACUGACGCUGAGGCACGAAGGCCAGGGGAGCGAAAGGUAUUAGAUACCCGUGUAGUC